CACCCCAGGAGGUGGCGGAACCCCGUUACUCUUUCAACGGAGCUGGUCAGGAACUCCUGGGCUCAGAUGAUCCUCCCACUUCAGCCUUCCAAAGUGCUGGGGUUACAGACAUGAACCACUGUGUCUGGCUGGACUCACCCUGAGUUAUAACAAGCAAGCUGGCUGACUUCCUGUUUUGAUGUGGUCCAGAGCCAAUGAAGAAAAACCCCUUAUUCAAGCUGUAGCUUACCUCAUCUCCAGCCAAUCAGCAUCAAAGGCCCAAGAAGCUAUUAACCACAAGUUCCGGUUUUAGGGGGCUAGGGACUUCACCAAGGACCCGCAAGUACAGCUAGGCUUGUUUCAACUCUUCCUUAUUUUAAUGCUAAAAAUCAUGCCCAGAGAUGAUUUAAAAUGCUAAUGUUACAUGCAAUGUGUGAAAAAGCAUGUUGAACCACUGUGCAGGCACCAAAGAAAUCCCUCCUAAACAUUCGAUGACAGGCACAUUACAGCACCUAGGCCCCUGUAAGACAGAUCAACCUGCUCCCUUUGGGGUAUAGCCCACCCUUUUCUUUUUGCAGUACUGACCUCUCUUGUGCACAAGCUAAAAUAAACAUUCUCUUUUUCUUU